CAAUAAGCGGAGAAAAGAAACCAACAGGGAUUGCCUCAGUAACGGCGAGUGAAGCGGCAACAGCUCAAAUUUGAAAUCUGGCCCCCCGGCCCGAGUUGUAAUUUGCAGAGGAUGCUUCGGGCGCGGUGCCUUCCAAGUCCCCUGGAACGGGGCGCCGGAGAGGGUGAGAGCCCCGUACGGUUGGCGGCCAAGCCUGUGUGAAGCUCCUUCGACGAGUCGAGUAGUUUGGGAAUGNNGCUCUAAGCGGGAGGUAGACCCCUUCUAAAGCUAAAUAUAGGCCAGAGACCGAUAGCGCACAAGAGAGUAUGAAGAGA
rnacentral:rRNA from 2 species